rnacentral:rRNA from 1 species
AGUGAACGCUGGCGGUAGGCCUAACACAUGCAAGUCGAACGGCAGCACAGGAGAGCUUGCUCUCUGGGUGGCGAGUGGCGGACGGGUGAGGAAUACAUCGGAAUCUACUUUUUCGUGGGGGAUAACGUAGGGAAACUUACGCUAAUACCGCAUACGACCUACGGGUGAAAGCAGGGGAUCUUCGGACCUUGCGCGAUUGAAUGAGCCGAUGUCGGAUUAGCUAGUUGGCGGGGUAAAGGCCCACCAAGGCGACGAUCCGUAGCUGGUCUGUGAGGAAGAUCAGCCAAACUGGAGCUGAGACACGGUCCAGACUCCUACGGGAGGCAGCAGUGGGGAAUAUUGGACAAUGGGCGCAAGCCUGAUCCAGCCAUACCGCGUGGGUGAAGAAGGCCUUCGGGUUGUAAAGCCCUUUUGUUGGGAAAGAAAUCCAGCUGGUUAAUACCCGGUUGGGAUGACGGUACCCAAAGAAUAAGCACCGGCUAACUUCGUGCCAGCCGCCGCCGUAA